rnacentral:rRNA from 1 species
GUGUCAGCAGCCGCGGUAAUACGAAGGGUGCAAACGUUGCUCGGAAUCAUUGGGCGUAAAGCGCACGUAGGCGGCCCUAUAAGUCGGAUGUGAAAUCCCUCGGCUCAACCGAGGACGUGCAUCCGAAACUGUAGGGCUCGAGUAUGGAAGAGGGUCGCGGAAUUCUCGGUGUAGAGGUGAAAUUCGUAGAUAUCGGGAGGAACACCAGUGGCGAAGGCGGCGACCUGGGCCAAUACUGACGCUGAGGUGCGAAAGCGUGGGGAGCAAACAGGAUUAGAUACCCGCGUAGUCC